UACGUAGGGACCGAGCGUUGUCCGGAUUCAUUGGGCGUAAAGAGCUCGUAGGCGGCUGCUCAAGUCGAAUGUGAAAACCUCGAGGCUCAACCUCGAGCCUGCAUUCGAUACUGGGCAGCUAGAGUCUGGUAGGGGAUCUGGAAUUCCUGGUGUAGCGGUGGAAUGCGCAGAUAUCAGGAGGAACACCGGUGGCGAAGGCGGGAUCCUGGGCCAGUACUGACGCUGAGGAGCGAAAGCGUGGGGAGCAAACAGG
rnacentral:rRNA from 1 species